UACGAGUGCCCCAAGCGUUAUCCGGAAUUAUUGGGCGUAAAGGGUGUGUAGGUGGUUGUAUUAGUCUUUUGUUAAAGCUCCCGGCUUAACCGGGAACAUGCAAAGGAAACGGUACAACUAGAGGACGUAAGAGGUAUGCGGAACUCAUGGUGUAGGGGUGAAAUCCGUUGAUAUCAUGGGGAACACCAAAAGCGAAGGCAGCAUACUGGUGCGUUCCUGACACUGAGACACGAAAGCGUGGGUAGCGAAUGGG
rnacentral:rRNA from 1 species